UUUUGGCCGAUUCCACGUCGGCCUUCAUCUCCUCCAGGUCUCUCUUGAGCUUGGCGCGGCGGUUCUGGAACCAGGUGAUGACCUGGGCGUUGGUGAGCCCCAGCUGCUGGGCGAUCUGGUCCCGGUCCGCGGGCGACAGCUGCUAUUUUAAGAAACACCCCAAAUCACAGCACUUUCCCUGCCCUCCCCACCUCCAGCUAAUACCCACCCCAAAAUAAAUUUUAAAAAUAAUUUUAAAAAAAGAAAGAGAAAAAGAAAAAGCUGACUUCGUAGAGGGGAAGAGCAGCCCUCGCACCGAGACCUCGGACCAGGGGGAAAGAAGCGAGAAGAGAUGGGGCUUUUGCAAGUUCGGAGACCCAUUAAUUAGGAGGCGGUAUGGAGGUGGAGCCCAGUUGAAUUAUAAUGCUGAAUGCACUUGUCAUAUUCUGGCCCUGCUAUUUGUUUGGACAUAUAUAUUUUUAAAUUACAUUACAAACCAGCCUUUAUUGCAUCAGGAUAAUACAGUAUAGUGAAAAAUAAUAAUAAGCGAAAACAAAACAAACCGAAAAA